rnacentral:rRNA from 1 species
AACGGACGAGAUCGAAAAGUCCGAAUGGGGAGAUUCAAGCCUAUCCGUGCCGGUGGCCGGCGGGUACAGACGGUGCGGUCGGCUCGGGGCCCUCGGGCUGCUGGGUUUGCUCCGUAUUCGCUCGUCCCGACGGUAUCUGUCUGGUGCGGUGGGCUGCACUUCUCCCCUAGUAGGACGUCGCGACCCGUUGGGAGGUUCCGAUCUUAUGGCCCGCGGUGGAGCCCACGCCGGAGCGGUAGGCUCGUCUUGCCGUUGCCGUGCAUGGACCCGUGGUGACCUGAUUGGCGCCCGACGGUAUCAAAGCUUGGGAAGGAACCGCACAGAGGUUGCGUCCGAUGCCCGCACCGGGCUACACUCGGACAGGUUCGCACCCGGUCUGCGGCGCUACUGCUUUCGAUACUCGUCCGACCCGUCUUGAAAC